GAGGGGCUCCUCACUUCCCAGUAGGGGCGGCCGGGUAGAGGCGCCCCUCACCUCCCGGACGGGGCGGCUGGCCAGGUGGGGGGCUCACCCCCCCCACCUCCCUCCCGGACAGGGCGGCUGGCCAGGCGGGGGGCUAACCCCCCCACCUCCCUCCUGGACGGGGCGGCUGGCCGGGCGGGGGGCUGACCCCCCCACCUCCCUCCCGGACGGGGCGGCUGGCCGGGCGGGGGUGCUCCUCACUUCCCAGUAGGGGCGGCUGGGCGGAGGUGCCCCUCACCUCCCGGACGGGGCGGCUGGCCAGGCGGGGGGCUAACCCCCCCACCUCCCUUCUGGAGGGGGCGGCUGGCCGGGCGGGGGGCUGGCCCCCCCCACCUCCCUCCCGGACGGGGCAGCUGGCCAGGCGGGGGGCUGACCCCCCCACCUCCCUCCCGGAGAAGGUGGCUGCCAGGCGGUGAUGCCCCUCACUUCCCAGACGGGGUGGCUGCUGGGCGGAGGGGCUCCUCACUUCUCGGACGGGGCGCCUGCCGGGCGUGAUCUGGACCUCAGUGCCACGACCAACAGCGACUUCCAAGGGGAACAUGGGAAGAACAGAGGACAAAAACCAGAGUUGAGGCUGGAGAGAGUUAUGGUGCCAGUGGUCUCACCCAGCACUGAGUGCAAAGUUCUCCAGCAUCACUCUCAGGGAGAAGCUCCCCUGGACCUUGCCUAAGAACUCCGUUCGUCCGGGAGGACGCAGGCCCACCUGCUCUAAAAUGAACGCGUCUGAAUUCAGCGCAGGACACCCAGGAGCCCGGUUAUUCUCCUGCCAGCGUCCUCCCCUGAUGUGUCCCUGACCCCGUGCUCUGACGUACUCAGCCAUGUACUCACUCUCCUCUCCCAGGCCCCCAUACCUGAGAUCACCAUGGCGUGAUAUGGGGUAGACUACAAGCCUACCGUGCCUCGGCCAUGUGCAGGGCGACCUGUCCCUGGCAUCCACACCUGUGGCCCAUACGUCGCCCGCAUUGUGGGGCGCCGAAAACCCAACACAACUGAAACACAACUGCUGACCUUCCCCCUAAGCCGCCUCUAAACGAGGUCCCUGGGCCCCUGGUCCCAGCCGCUCUUUGAAGACUUGCCUGAUGACAGGCAUG
rnacentral:lncRNA from 1 species